AUUGAACGCUGGCGGCAGGCCUAACACAUGCAAGUCGAACGGUAACAGGAAACAGCUUGCUGUUUCGCUGACGAGUGGCGGACGGGUGAGUAAUGUCUGGGAAACUGCCUGAUGGAGGGGGAUAACUACUGGAAACGGUAGCUAAUACCGCAUAACGUCGCAAGACCAAAGAGGGGGACCCUCGGGCCUCUUGCCAUCGGAUGUGCCCAGAUGGGAUUAGCUUGUUGGUGGGGUAACGGCUCACCAAGGCGACGAUCCCUUGCUGGUCUGAGAGGAUGACCAGCCACACUGGAACUGAGACACGGUCCAGACUCCUACGGGAGGCAGCAGUGGGGAAUAUUGCACAAUGGGCGCAAGCCUGAUGCAGCCAUGCCGCGUGUAUGAAGAAGGCCUUCGGGUUGUAAAGUACUUUCAGCGGGGAGGAAGGGAGUAAAGUUAAUACCUUUGCUCAUUGACGUUACCCGCAGAAGAAGCACCGGCUAACUCCGU
rnacentral:rRNA from 1 species